UGAGCCGGCCAGGUGGUCGCGGCCAGGGGUGGGCCUUCGGGCCUGCGACCUGGUCGAGGAAAGUCGGGACUCCGUAGGGCAGGGUGCUGGCUAACGGCCAGUCGGGGCGACCCGCAGGAAAGUGCCACAGAGAACAAACCGCCGAUGGGUGGUCGAGAGGCCGCCACAGGUAAGGGUGAAACGGUGCGGUAAGAGCGCACCAGCGCCCGGGGUGACCCGGGCGGCUCGGUAAACCCCACUCGGAGCAAGGUCAAAUCGUGGGAGGGGUGGCCCGCCCAAUCUCCCCAGGUAGACCGCAAAGAUGGAUGACCACCCAUCCGGACCCCGGAAACGGGCCGGUGGACAGAAUCCCGCUUACAGGCCGGCUCACCGU
rnacentral:RNase_P_RNA from 1 species